rnacentral:ncRNA from 1 species
AUAAUUGCGAUGAAGAGGACAAGUAAAUUAGAAUCUAUUUUGCUAGAGAGUAAGGUCACCGGCUGAAAGCCUUAUAAAAUAAUCUAUUUGAAAAACUACCUCGGAGCGGAACUUAUUAGCAUUAGAUGUGAAAGUGUUCGGUUGACAACCUUAUAGUCAUCAAGAGGAUUUGUUUAUUAUAUAAAUAAAUCAACUUGGGUGGAACCACGAUAUAACACUCGUCCCAACU